CUUCUUCCUGUCCCCUUGAGGAGGAGAUUGUGCAGGUGCUCCCUGGCUAUAUUUUGGGAAGAAACAGGCACCCUAAAUGUCAGAACAGAGCUGAGUAAAAAGGAGUAAUUGAGAAGGCCAUUGAAGAAAUGAAGUGGUGACAGUAGGAAGCACUGAGGGUCCUAGUGGGAACACGAGCAAUGCUGAUACACUUCUGUUGCCUUGGGCUGAGCCUGCUCUCCCCACAUGGAGAUCAGAACACAAACAAGGCCAGGAGCUCUUAAAACCCUCCCCUGCAAACCAAGGGGUGGGCUGGAUCUCCCAGAAGUCGCUCCCAAGGCAAACUGGCAGAGAAAGAAGAGUCCCAGCUGGGUUUUCUCUGUUUUCUGUGCUCUACCAAGCUAGGGGUGGCCUACCUGGGCACAAGUUGUCCACUACAGCCAUGGUUCCUUCAGCAUGGAGUGACAGCAAACCUGUGCUGGGGAAACACCACACCAGGGUAGCUGAGCUUAUUCUUACAAGAAGAAAAAUCAAUCUCUGGAGCAAAACAGGUGGGGACAGUCACGUCUGUAUACACAGUUUUCAGAAAACACAUUAAAAAUUUAUUUUAAAUAUAUUAUAAAAGGAAGUCCAUUCAACUUUAAAAACACUAGGCAUUCUAUCAAUGAUUCCCAAUUUAUGAAAGCUACUACAUUAAAGUGCUACAAGUCCUUUACCACCCCCAGAUAUUAGGCUGUUGGUCCUAAUAUGCACAAAAUAAAUACACACUGAUUCAAGAGGCACCAUCCAGUUUUACAGAGAAAAUGCAUGCAGUACAAGGUACACACAAAAUUAGACCUAAUCACUGAGAUCCUAGAGAAUGCAUUUUGAAACCAAUUCCCUUCUCCACCCUAGAGGCUAAAGCUAUUUGUUGCUGUUAUCGUAAGGGCUAAGGUUUCAGGCUGUUAGCUUGAUCAGUUUUUAUCUUGUUUUGUGGUUGAAGUUCAUGUUUGUUUGCUCACUACCUAGGAUUAAGACUUUUCUCCUUGAGUUGAACUAGUAUAUUUAAAACCACAUAGAUCCAGUGGCUAUAUAUUAAACUCCCAAAUCACUUAAAACUGUUGGAAUCAUUGAAGCCUUUUGGGUCAUACAGAAGCAUCAAGAAAGCUCAAAUGCAGUCAAUUAAGGAGUGUACUCAGCUAGCAGAGGCACAGUCAAAAACAGACACAGGUUUUUUAUUAGGGUUUCCAUGAUCCAACAUUGCCUAGUUCCUUACAGAUUCUCAAAGCUAAAGCAUGGCACUGCAAAGUAGAAAUCAGAGCACGAGGUGAGCUUAUUUUGGUUACACUUCAAAUUUAUAAUCUGAAUAAAUCAAUCUGACUGGUUAAUGAGGAAUGUGAAAUGAAUUGACGAGUCUGUGUUGAAUGCUGAUGGCAAUUUCAGAUCUCAUUUCCCAUUCUCCAUCCACUGCAUCUCUCUCCACUUGAACCAGGUGAGGAUUUGCAGCUUGUUUUAAAAUCUGGACUCAACACUCAUUAGGUCAGAAAAUAAAGCACUGAAAGGUGAAUCCUACACAAGCUGGGAAAUUGCAGCACACAGAUUUCCUUGCUUAAGAUCAAGUAACAGCCAUGGCAGCUGGGGAACAGGACCCAGUGCUCCUCACAAUCCAGCUCCCCUUUGCUGUGUAUCCUGUGAAACCACCCAGUGAAUCCAUGAGCCCCAGCAGCUGGAAGUGGAUGUGGGAUGCAAGGUACACGUGCAUCACUUGGGCUGUUUCACACAUGGCCUUACCAGGGCUCUUCUGACUGCAUGUCUGACAGGCUGACUGCCAGAGGCUGGCUGUUCUCUCCAAUUUCAAGUCCCUGUCUGUAUCCUGAAAGACAAUUUAGAGUAAAAUCUCCCCUUUCACCUGGCAGUUCCAUGACUGCCCAAUUUGACUAUUAGGAGAUGUCUCCCCUGGGUGAUGUCACAGCCCUGUAGCAGCCCCACAGCACUGUGCUCCUGCAAGCUGGUGGUGCCUGUUUGACUCUCAGAUCACUGAUCUCAGUGCAGCAGCAAGAAGGAAAGUUUGCUGACUGGAACACUCCAGUAGUAAAGGAAAGCAAAGCCCUGUGCACUGACUGCUGUAAAACCAACCAUGAGGAAAGUCAGGCUGAGAAAUUGCUUUCUUGCUACUUCUGUAUUAGAGAAUUUAAUACACUCUUGUAAAAGUUUCCCAGUGAUGGAAGGCAUCAACUUCUUCUGAAAGACACUUCUGCUACAGAUUUUAUAUGCUUUUGGGACUAUUUGUGUUUUGCAUACUUAGAAAAGAAAAUGCAGGAUCCCUCAUGCCAGUGAAAUCAUGAGCCUUCACCAUGAGGUGAAACAUCCAGCAGCUAACCAAGACAUUUUCCAGUACAGUUUCAGGUGCACACCCAGAGGUACAGCACAGUACAGCACACCCAGAGGAAGCUGCCAAGCUUUCCCAGUCUUCCUAUUAGGAGUGACAAACCUCCCCAGAGUCAUUAACAAUAUUGAUUUAACAGAGGGAACCCAAGAGCUUCUGAAUUACUGUCGCUCACACAAAUUUUGCACUGAAAAUCAGACAUUUAAAAAAAACCCCACACACAAACACUGCAGGAGUCAAGCUUUCUCUUACAUCCUUAUCCCCCAACCCCUUCCCCUCUCCUCUCGUGUCCAGCAAGGCACUAGGAAAUGGUUCAAGUUUAAGCAUUUGCUGUACAUUUGCAUUUAAAAAGGCACAUCUUUAUUUUAAUGAUGCUGUAUUCCCCUUUCAGGAAGGCUCACACGUUCUUCUGUUGUGGUUUGAAAAAGAAAAUUAAUUUCCUAGGUAUGAGAAAAGACACCUUGCACACAUGAGAGCCCCAAACUUAUUUACUGUGUGUAGGCCUUAGAGAUUAGCACCAGUAUAGAUCAACAAGAUGCUUCAAGAGCAAAUCAAAGUAUUUUUAUGCAACACACCUUGCUGUCUGGGAUUCUGAUACUUAAAAGCAGCAAAACUUAUGCAGCCACAAAGAGAAGGGUGUUUCAAUACUUUUGGGGGAAAAAUAUGAAAACAUGUAUUUGGCAUUAGAUAAUCACCAGUAUUUAAUCUCCAGUCUUGAUUUGCAUGCAGAUGUGAAGAUCUGAUUAUGUAUUCAUGCUUUAGCAAUUUUGCUUACAAAUAACCAAAAGUAAUUGGAAUAAUUAACCAGAUUGCCCGGGCAAGGCUCAGUUAAAGAUGCAGAUGAUGAAAUACAGCUUAUAUUUCUCAAUCAGUUGGCUAUAUUAAGUCUUUGCAUUAGUCAACAAAGCCUCUAGGGUACUGAAAAGUAUAACUGAUGCAAAUAAUUAAUAGCUCAAAGCCCAGUGAGCUACACAGAAGUGUACAGAAUUUGUGAGGCUCUUACCACAUUCAGAUCUCAAACCUCCAGAAAAGAGAUCAACCACACUGAGAUGGACCUGGUACAACUACUAACAUUAAAUCUCAGGUUUCUGUGUACUGGUGGUGGGUUGUCAAACAGGAAUUGCCUCAACUAUUGCCUAAGCUGUUGGUGCAAGCUGCUAAGAGCUGACCUUUCUCUCCAAAUUAAGAUCACCAAGUGGUAAAAGACCUGUUCAUUGCUGCAGCUCUCUCUGAAGCAAGAAUCCAGUGAGCCAAGUGAGGGCUCCCUUCACAAGGUGAGCCCAAGUACAAAGCAAGCCAUGCAGUUUAGAAACAGAAGCUAAUCCUCUCAUUAGAAAACUAAGACACACAAAGCUGCAACCUGCAAGCAGAACAACCUACAGUCCAUUUAUAGAAUAUGCUGAUUGUGUCCCAGUUAUAAAAAAACGAGCACUUUUCAUGGACAAACAGCUUCUUGUUCCACAGGCAUUAAAACAUUCAUAAAGACAUCUAGUCAGGCCAUCUAGUGGCUCCACAGUCAGCACUACUCAGCUAAUGAGAGUAUUAAUAACUUAAGGAAAGCAGCAGUUAGUCACAAAGUGCUGGAAGGUGACUCUGUCUCCCACAGAAAUGCAAAGGGAUCUUAAUAACAGACAUACUGUAGUAGCUGAGAACAUAAGGUGCCAACUCUGCUUGAUGCUGGUCUCACUUCCAUCCAAUACUGCUGCAGAAUUGUUACAAGGGGAAGUCUAGGGCUAUUUUUUCUUUUUUUCACUCUCAAAAUCUUAGACACCAACAUAUGGGAAGCCUGGUGCCCGCUGCAAUGCAGUGCCCAUGUUUCGUGUUCUCCAUGACUGCAUGGACCAGCUAAGUUGGCAGAAAAGGUCAGACAUGGCCUCAGCUGUGUGGAUGAGAGAGGUGGGAACCAUUCUGAGCCUCCUACUCAGCACAUCAGAUUGGAGAGUUUGGGGGGCACACAGCUGUGUCCUUGUUUGCUCCCAGCACAUAUGAAACAUGGGACACAGCCCUACAAUUGGCAACAAAAGGGCUUCUUGCUCCUGGAGCUCUGCAGGGGGGAGCCAUCCUGCUUGUUUUGGGACACUAGGGAAGCAUCUCCGUGCCUUCACAUGAAAGACAUCCCAGAGCAGAGCUUCCCUGCCCCUCUGAGGAGAGGCAAUGUAACCAUGUUCAUCAAGCAUCCCACAGGGGUCCCAUCCCCAUCACCCCAGAGCUGGCUGCACACUACCUGCUCUUGCAACACCCCUGCAUGGGCAGCUAGACAAACCAAGGAGCUGGGCAAUUCCUGACAAAGGAAUCCUGUUUACUAAUUUUCACAGCAUCUGUUCACUGGUUCACUGCAUCCCUAUUCACAGCUUUUACCAGAAAAUGACACUGCUCCUCCCUUCAGUACAAGACUAAGUCAGGGGAACUAGUACAUGUGUUUUUGCAAUAACUUCAUUUUAAACCAGAUUUUUAAAAAAUACUUGCUUCAGAUAGACUUGAACCAGUGGUCCUCCAUUCAUUCUUUAGUGUCAGUACAUUCCAGCUGCUGGGAUGAGACAAUCCUGGUUCACUGUCUGGCAGAUCCCACAGACAAACCAGAAGGGGUAACACCUUGCACUGCUCACUCACUGCACAAUGGAGACUGAACCAGGAAAAUGGGUUCAUCAGUCCCACAUCUCUGCUAAAGCAAACAGAUUUCCAGUCACAGUGAACUGCACAGUGGGUGCUGGGAAAUGAGGAGAGAUUAAUAGCACGUUUCCACAAGGCUAGAACACCACUGACCACAUGACUCAAGAAACUACAGACUGAUGAACAAAUGGAUAAAGACCAAUGGCUAAUCUCAGCCCUGACUUUAUUAUCCUGAAUUAAUCUGCUCACACCAACUGUAAAUUAACUUAGCCUUCAAACCUCUAAAGGAAGAAUGGAAAUUAUCUUCACACAGUAGAUUUAACUCUGAGAAAUCCUGGAGAUGUCUGUGCUAAAAAGGUUAUAAGAGGCAAAUUUGGAACCUGAUAUCCAAAGGCUCUUAGCAUAAAGUCUUCACCUGUAAGAACUGCGAUUAUUUAAAAACCCUCUGCUAAUCUUUCACCUUGAAGAUUCAACAGUGAGUGACAAACUGACUGCAAAGUGAAUGGACCAGAAACCCAGAUUCCUCAUGGCUAAUAACAACAGCCAUAUUCCCAACACUUGGCUGCACUUCCACUAGAGCUCAUUCCUUCAUCAGCCCUAUGAUUUGGAAAGUAAUAAUACUCAACCUGUUUGAAAUAUAUUUGGUUCAGGGCAAAAAAAUACUCAUUUCAUUUUACAAUAAUGGGCUUUUUUUUUUCUUUUUUUUUUUUCCUUUUUUUUUUUUUGAUUGGAGACUUAAAUCUUUUCUUCAGUAUUUUACUUAUAUGGAGUUUGGAAGAUAAAGCACCUAUGUGGGAACGCUUCAGUGGGUGGUAUAGCAGCUACAAAAAGUCCUGCAGGGUCCUGGAUAACAAAAUCAUUUAACACCAGACUGCAAUGGGAAAUAAAACAAAAACGGGGAAAAAAAAAAA